rnacentral:rRNA from 1 species
AGUGGAUGGGGAGCAACCUAGUUGUGCGUGUGUAAAGGUAGUGCCAAGAAAAGCGGUGAUCAUGAUGAAAAUCAAUUCCCGGUACCCGAAACCGACACAGGUGGGCAAGUAGAGAAUACUAAGGGGCGCGAGGUAACUCUCUCCAAGGAACUCGGCAAAAUGACCCCGUAACUUGGGGAGAAGGGGUGCCACCGAGAGGUGGUCGCAGUGAAGAGGCCCAGGCGACUGUUUAGCAAAAACAUAGGUCUCUGCAAACUCGAAAGAGGAGGUAUAGGGGCUGACGCCUGCCCAGUGCCGGAAGGUUAAAGAAGUUGGUCAGUCUUAGGAUGAAGCUAGCGACUGAAGCCCCGGUGAACGGCGGCCGUAACUAUAACGGUCCUAAGGUAGCGAAAUUCCUUGUCGGGUAAGUUCCGACCCGCACGAAAGGCGUAACGAUCUGGGCGCUGUCUCGGAGAGAGGCUCGGCGAAAUAGGAUUGUCUGUGAAGAUACGGACUACCUGCAUUUGGACAGAAAGACCCUAUGAAGCUUUACUAUAGCUUGGAAUUGUGUUCGGGCUUCCUGUGCGCAGGAUAGGUGGGAGGCGUAGAAGGUAUUCUUGUGGGGAUACUGGAGCCAACGGUGAGAUACCACUCUCAGGAGGCUAGAAUUCUAACUUAAUUAAGGACAGUUUCAGGUGGGUAGUUUGACUGGGGCGGUCGCCUCCAAAAAGGUAACGGAGGCGUACAAAGGUUCCCUCAGACUGGUUGGAAAUCAGUCGAAGAGUGCAAAGGCAGAAGGGAGCUUGACUGCGAGAAGUACAGUUCGAGCAGGGUGGAAACACGGUCUUAGUGAUCCGACGGUGCUGUGUGGAAGGGCCGUCGCUCAACGGAUAAAAGUUACUCUAGGAUAACAGGCUGAUCUCCCCCAAGAGUUCACAUCGACGGGGAGGUUUGGCACCUCGAUGUCGGCUCAUCGCAACCUGGGGCGGAAGUACGUCCCAAGGGUUGGGCUGUUCGCCCAUUAAAGCGGUACGUGAGCUGGGUUCAGAACGUCGUGAGACAGUUCGGUCCAUAUCCGCUGUAGGCGUGAGAAUAUUGAGAGGAGCCUUCCUUAGUACGAGAGGACCGGGAAGGACGCACCGCUGGUGUACCUGUUAUGAUGCCAAUUGUAAACGCAGGGUAGCCAAGUGCGGAGAGGAUAACCGCUGAAAGCAUCUAAGUGGGAAGCCCACCUCAAGAUGAGUAUUCUGGUGUAAGGUCACGGGAAGACGACCCGUAAAUAGGCACGAGGUGGAAGUGCAGAGAUGUAUGAGGCCGAAGUGUACUAAUAGACCGUCGGCUUGACC